rnacentral:rRNA from 1 species
UACGGGGGGAGCAAGCGUUGUUCGGAUUUACUGGGCGUAAAGCGCACGUAGGCGGGUUGUUAAGUCAGGGGUGAAAUCCUGGAGCUCAACUCCAGAACUGCCUUUGAUACUGGCAACCUAGAGGCUGGAAGAGGUUAGUGGAAUUCCCAGUGUAGAGGUGAAAUUCGUAGAUAUUGGGAAGAACACCAGUGGCGAAGGCGGCUAACUGGUCCAGAUCUGACACUGAGGAGCGAAAGCGUGGGGAGCGAACAGG